UACUGCUCAGUAACACGUGGAUAACCUGCCCUAAGGAAGGGGAUACCCUCGGGAAACUGAGGAUAAUACCCUAUAGGUUACCGAUGCUGGAAUGCUCGGUAACUCAAAGUUCCGGCGCCUUAGGAUGGAUCUGCGGCCGAUUAGGUAGUUGUUGGGGUAACGGCCCAACAAGCCCGUAAUCGGUACGGGUUGUGGGAGCAAGAGCCCGGAGUUGGAUUCUGAGACACGAAUCCAGGCCCUACGGGGCGCAGCAGGCGCGAAAACUUUACAAUGCGGGCAACCGUGAUAAGGGAACCUCGAGUGCCUGUACAUGCAGGCUGUCUGGGUGUCUAAAACACACCCAAAGAAAGGGCCGGGCAAGACCGGUGCCAGCCGCCGCGGUAAUACCGGCGGCUCGAGUGGUGGCCACUUUUAUUGGGCUUAAAGCGUUCGUAGCUGGGUUGUUAAGUCUCUUGGGAAAUCCGGCGGCUUAACCGUCGGGCGUCUAAGAGAUACUGGCAAUCUUGGAACCGGGAGAGGUGAGGGGUACUUCGGGGGUAGGAGUGAAAUCCUGUAAUCCUCGAGGGACCACCUGUGGCGAAGGCGCCUCACCAGAACGGCUUCGACAGUGAGGGACGAAAGCUGGGGGAGCAAACCGGAUUAGAUACCCGGGUAGUCCCAGCCGUAAACGAUGUGCGUUAGGUGUUUYACGACCACGAGUCGUCGAGGUGCCGAAGGGAAACCGUGAAACGUACCCGCCUKGGRAAGU
rnacentral:rRNA from 1 species